AGAGAAGAAUGUUCUGACUGGACCUGAGACCCUGUUCCUGGUGAGACUGUCCUUGAAUCACUUCCUCUGGACUGAUGUGUGACCAAGUGAAAGAGGCAACAUACUGUCAAGUAUACUGCAUUUCCUGUGCUCUAGGGGAACUGUCCAACACAACUGUUCCUGAAGAAUUGGUGCUGAAUAUCAUUUUGAGGAAACUCAUCCAUAUAACUGGACUAUUUUAA
rnacentral:lncRNA from 1 species